UACGUAGGGUGCGAGCGUUAAUCGGAAUUACUGGGCGUAAAGCGUGCGCAGGCGGUCUUGCAAGACAGGUGUGAAAUCCCCGGGCUUAACCUGGGAACUGCACUUGUGACUGCAAGGCUGGAGUGCGGCAGAGGGGGAUGGAAUUCCGCGUGUAGCAGUGAAAUGCGUGGAUAUGCGGAGGAACACCGAUGGCGAAGGCAAUCCCCUGGGCCUGCACUGACGCUCAUGCACGAAAGCGUGGGGAGCAAACAGG
rnacentral:rRNA from 1 species